CCUACGGGUGGCAGCAGUGAGGAAUAUUGGUCAAUGGACGAGAGUCUGAACCAGCCAAGUAGCGUGAAGGAUGACUGCCCUAUGGGUUGUAAACUUCUUUUAUAUGGGAAUAAAAUGUUCCACGUGUGGGAUUUUGUAUGUACCAUAUGAAUAAGGAUCGGCUAACUCCGUGCCAGCAGCCGCGGUAAUACGGAGGAUCCGAGCGUUAUCCGGAUUUAUUGGGUUUAAAGGGAGCGUAGGUGGAUUGUUAAGUCAGUUGGGAAAGUUUGCGGCUCAACCGUAAAAUUGCAGUUGAAACUGGCAGUCUUGAGUACAGUAGAGGUAGGCGGAAUUCGUGGUGUAGCGGUGAAAUGCUUAGAUAUCACGAAGAACUCCGAUUGCGAAGGCAGCCUGCUGGACUGUAACUGACGCUGAUGCUCGAAAGUGUGGGUAUCAAACAGGAUUAGAUACCCUAGUAGUC
rnacentral:rRNA from 1 species